UCAUUACUGAGUUUACGCUCUAUAACCCUUUGUGAACAUACCUAUAACUGUUGCUUCGGCGGGUAGGGUCUCCGCGACCCUCCCGGCCUCCCGCCCCCGGGCGGGUCGGCGCCCGCCGGAGGAUAACCAAACUCUGAUUUAACGACGUUUCUUCUGAGUGGUACAAGCAAAUAAUCAAAACUUUUAACAACGGAUCUCUUGGUUCUGGCAUCGAUGAAGAACGCAGCGAAAUGCGAUAAGUAAUGUGAAUUGCAGAAUUCAGUGAAUCAUCGAAUCUUUGAACGCACAUUGCGCCCGCCAGCAUUCUGGCGGGCAUGCCUGUUCGAGCGUCAUUUCAACCCUCAAGCUCUGCUUGGUGUUGGGGCCCUACAGCUGAUGUAGGCCCUCAAAGGUAGUGGCGGACCCUCCCGGAGCCUCCUUUGCGUAGUAACUUUACGUCUCGCACUGGGAUCCGGAGGGACUCUUGCCGUAAAACCCCCAAUUUUCCAAAGGUUGACCUCGGAUCAGGUAGGAAUACCCGCUGAACUUAAGCAUAUCAAUAAGCGGAGGAAAAGAAACCAMCAGGGAUUGCCUCAGUAACGGCGAGUGAAGCGGCAACAGCUCAAAUUUGAAAUCUGGCCMWARRMMCGAGUUGUAAUUUGCAGAGGAUGCUUUUGGUGCGGUGCCUUCCAAGUUCCCUAGAACGGGACGCCAGAGAGGGUGAGAGCCCCGUACAGUUGGACACCAAGCCUUUGUAAAGCUCCUUCGACGAGUCGAGUAGUUUGGGAAUGCUGCUCAAAAUGGGAGGUAUAUUUCUUCUAAAGCUAAAUACCGGCCAGAGACCGAUAGCGCACAAGUAGAGUGAUCGAAAGAUGAAAAGCACUUUGAAAAGAGGGUUAAACAGCACGUGAAAUUGUUAAAAGGGAAGCGCUUGUGACCAGCCCCCCGUCCGAAGAAUCACCCAGCUCUCGCGGCUGGGGCACUUCGCCGGCUCAGGCCAGCAUCAGCUCGCUGUCGGGGACAAAAGCUUCAGGAACGUAGCUCUCUUCGGGGAGUGUUAUAGCCUGUUGCAUAAU
rnacentral:misc_RNA from 1 species